ACGGGAAGAGCCCAAACCAACAAGCUUGCUUGUUGGGGUUGUAGGACACUCUAUACGGAGUUACAAAGGACGACAUUAGACGAAUCAUCUGGAAAGAUGAAUCAAAGAAGGUAAUAAUCCUGUAGUCGAAAAUGUUGUCUCUCUUGAGUGGAUCCUGAGUACGACGGAGCACGUGAAAUUCCGUCGGAAUCUGGGAGGACCAUCUCCUAAGGCUAAAUACUCUCUAGUGACCGAUAGUGAACCAGUACCGUGAGGGAAAGGUGAAAAGCACCCCGGAAGGGGAGUGAAAUAGAACCUGAAACCGUGUGCUUACAAGUAGUCAGAGCCCGUUAAUGGGUGAUGGCGUGCCUUUUGUAGAAUGAACCGGCGAGUUACGAUUUGAUGCAAGGUUAAGCAGUAAAUGUGGAGCCGUAGCGAAAGCGAGUCUGAAUAGGGCGUUUAGUAUUUGGUCGUAGACCCGAAACCAGGUGAUCUACCCUUGGUCAGGUUGAAGUUCAGGUAACACUGAAUGGAGGACCGAACCGACUUACGUUGAAAAGUGAGCGGAUGAACUGAGGGUAGCGGAGAAAUUCCAAUCGAACCUGGAGAUAGCUGGUUCUCUCCGAAAUAGCUUUAGGGCUAGCCUCAAGUGAUGAUUAUUGGAGGUAGAGCACUGUUUGGACGAGGGGCCCCUCUCGGGUUACCGAAUUCAGACAAACUCCGAAUGCCAAUUAAUUUAACUUGGGAGUCAGAACAUGGGUGAUAAGGUCCGUGUUCGAAAGGGAAACAGCCCAGACCACCAGCUAAGGUCCCAAAAUAUAUGUUAAGUGGAAAAGGAUGUGGCGUUGCCCAGACAACUAGGAUGUUGGCUUAGAAGCAGCCAUCAUUUAAAGAGUGCGUAAUAGCUCACUAGUCGAGUGACACUGCGCCGAAAAUGUACCGGGGCUAAACAUAUUACCGAAGCUGUGGAUUGUCCUUUGGACAAUGGUAGGAGAGCGUUCUAAGGGCGUUGAAGCAUGAUCGUAAGGACAUGUGGAGCGCUUAGAAGUGAGAAUGCCGGUGUGAGUAGCGAAAGACGGGUGAGAAUCCCGUCCACCGAUUGACUAAGGUUUCCAGAGGAAGGCUCGUCCGCUCUGGGUUAGUCGGGUCCUAAGCUGAGGCCGACAGGCGUAGGCGAUGGAUAACAGGUUGAUAUUCCUGUACCACCUAUAAUCGUUUUAAUCGAUGGGGGGACGCAGUAGGAUAGGCGAAGCGUGCGAUUGGAUUGCACGUCUAAGCAGUAAGGCUGAGUAUUAGGCAAAUCCGGUACUCGUUAAGGCUGAGCUGUGAUGGGGAGAAGACAUUGUGUAUUCGAGUCGUUGAUUUCACACUGCCGAGAAAAGCCUCUAGAUAGAAAAUAGGUGCCCGUACCGCAAACCGACACAGGUAGUCAAGAUGAGAAUUCUAAGGUGAGCGAGCGAACUCUCGUUAAGGAACUCGGCAAAAUGACCCCGUAACUUCGGGAGAAGGGGUGCUCUUUAGGGUUAACGCCCAGAAGAGCCGCAGUGAAUAGGCCCAAGCGACUGUUUAUCAAAAACACAGGUCUCUGCUAAACCGUAAGGUGAUGUAUAGGGGCUGACGCCUGCCCGGUGCUGGAAGGUUAAGAGGAGUGGUUAGCUUCUGCGAAGCUACGAAUCGAAGCCCCAGUAAACGGCGGCCGUAACUAUAACGGUCCUAAGGUAGCGAAAUUCCUUGUCGGGUAAGUUCCGACCCGCACGAAAGGCGUAACGAUUUGGGCACUGUCUCAACGAGAGACUCGGUGAAAUCAUAGUACCUGUGAAGAUGCAGGUUACCCGCGACAGGACGGAAAGACCCCGUGGAGCUUUACUGUAGCCUGAUAUUGAAAUUCGGCACAGCUUGUACAGGAUAGGUAGGAGCCUUUGAAACGUGAGCGCUAGCUUACGUGGAGGCGCUGGUGGGAUACUACCCUAGCUGUGUUGGCUUUCUAACCCGCACCACUUAUCGUGGUGGGAGACAGUGUCAGGCGGGCAGUUUGACUGGGGCGGUCGCCUCCUAAAAGGUAACGGAGGCGCUCAAAGGUUCCCUCAGAAUGGUUGGAAAUCAUUCAUAGAGUGUAAAGGCAUAAGGGAGCUUGACUGCGAGACCUACAAGUCGAGCAGGGUCGAAAGACGGACUUAGUGAUCCGGUGGUUCCGCAUGGAAGGGCCAUCGCUCAACGGAUAAAAGCUACCCCGGGGAUAACAGGCUUAUCUCCCCCAAGAGUUCACAUCGACGGGGAGGUUUGGCACCUCGAUGUCGGCUCAUCGCAUCCUGGGGCUGUAGUCGGUCCCAAGGGUUGGGCUGUUCGCCCAUUAAAGCGGUACGCGAGCUGGGUUCAGAACGUCGUGAGACAGUUCGGUCCCUAUCCGUCGUGGGCGUAGGAAAUUUGAGAGGAGCUGUCCUUAGUACGAGAGGACCGGGAUGGACAUACCUCUGGUGUACCAGUUGUCGUGCCAACGGCAUAGCUGGGUAGCUAUGUGUGGACGGGAUAAGUGCUGAAAGCAUCUAAGCAUGAAGCC
rnacentral:rRNA from 1 species